AUCUGCUGAAAGAUAUUUUUGCGUAAGAUUAGGUAGUUGGUAAAUUAAAAGUUUACCAAGCCUUUGAUCUUUAGUUGGUUUGAGAGGAUGGCCAACCACACUGGAACUGAGACAAGGUCCAGGCUAAUUUUUUAGCCAGCAGUGAGGAAUAUUGGACAAUGAACGAAAGUUUGAUCCAGCAAUACUACAUGAAUGAUAUAAAA
rnacentral:rRNA from 1 species